rnacentral:rRNA from 1 species
GACGUAGGGCGCGAGCGUUGUCCGGAUUUAUUGGGCGUAAAGAGCUCGUAGGCGGCCUGUUGCGUCCGCUGUGAAAUCCCGGGGCUUAACCCCGGGCGUGCAGUGGAUACGGGCGGGCUGGAGGCAGGCAGGGGAGAACGGAAUUCCUGGUGUAGCGGUGAAAUGCGCAGAUAUCAGGAGGAACACCAGUGGCGAAGGCGGUUCUCUGGGCCUGUUCUGACGCUGAGGAGCGAAAGCGUGGGGAGCGAACAGG